GGGUGCGAUCAUACCAACACUAAUGCACCGGAUCCCAUCAGGACUCUGAAGAUAACAGUACUUGGGCAAGAAUCGUACCUA
rnacentral:rRNA from 1 species